rnacentral:rRNA from 1 species
GACAGAGGUUGCAAACGGUGUUCGGAAUCACUGGGCCUAAAGCGCACGUAGGCGGUCUGUUAAGUCAGAUGUGAAAGCCCCCGGCUCAACCGGGGAACUGCAUUUGAUACUGGCAGGCUCGAGAACGGUAGGGGUGAGUGGAACUCCAGGUGGAGCGGUGAAAUGCGUAGAUAUCUGGAGGAACACCGGUGGCGAAAGCGGCUCACUGGACCGUCACUGACGCUGAGGUGCGAAAGCUAGGGUAGCAAACGGG